AACGUGGGGGAUAACGUAGGGAAACUUACGCUAAUACCGCACGUCAUACGGGAGAAAGCAGGGGACCUUCGGGCCUUGCGCGGUCAGACGGACCGAUGUGAUUAGCUAGUUGGUGAGGUAAUGGCUCACCAAGGCGACGAUCGAUAGCUGGUCUGAGGAUGAUCAGCCACACUGGAACUGAGACACGGUCCAGACUCCUACGGGAGGCAGCAGUGGAAUAUUGGACAAUGGGCGCAAGCCUGAUCCAGCAAUGCCGCGUGUGUGAAGAAGGCCCGGGUUGUAAAGCACUUUUAUCGGGAGCGAAAUACCAUCGGUUAAUACCCGGUGGGGCACGGUACCCGAGGAAUAAGCACCGGCUAACUUCGUGCCAGCAGCCGCGGUAAUACGAAGUGCAAGCGUUAAUCGGAAUUACUGGGCGUAAAGGGUGCGUAGGCGGUUAGUUAAGUCUCGUGAAAUCCCCGGGCUCAACCUGGGAAUGGCGAUGGAUACUGGCUGGCUAGAGUGU
rnacentral:rRNA from 1 species